UAGGGAAUAUUGGGCAAUGGAGGAAACUCUGACCCAGCCAUGCCGCGUGAAGGAUGAAGGUCCUACGGAUUGUAAACUUCUUUUAUUAGGGAAGAAACGUUUUGAUUCAUCAGAACUUGACGGUACCUAAGGAAUAAGCACCGGCUAACUCCGUGCCAGCAGCCGCGGUAAUACGGAGGGUGCAAGCGUUAUCCGGAUUCACUGGGUUUAAAGGGUGCGUAGGUGGAUUAAUAAGUCAGUGGUGAAAGCCCCGAGCUCAACUUGGGAAUUGCCAUUGAUACUGUUAGUCUUGAGUUCGGUUGAGGUAGGCGGAAUAAGUCAUGUAGCGGUGAAAUGCUUAGAUAUGACUUAGAACACCGAUUGCGAAGGCAGCUUACCAAGCCGACACUGACACUGAGGCACGAAAGCGUGGGGAUCAAACA
rnacentral:rRNA from 1 species